GAGCUAUUUUGCUUUCUGCUUAUAAUCUAGAUAUAAUUGCUUUUAUCCCAAUGGAAUUAGAAAAGAGCUAAAAUAAAAACUGAUGAAGCUCAUGCAGACAAUCUAGGCUAUUUUGAAAGUGAGGAUUUCCUGGUAAACUGAAGAAGAACAUCAGGAGAACCCGCAGGAGAAACAGUGAACUCGGAAUCAAAGGACAAGGAAGGCUUUUGAGAAGUAACUCCAGUGCGGCUGUGGGUAGGACAGAAGGCCGUUAGCCAAAAAGAACUGCAAGAUAUCUUCACGAGUGAAUGAAGAAAGAAGAUGUGAGAUUAUACUAGAAGAAAAAUCACUUCAGAAAGUCUUGAGUUGAACUCUUCUGAAAACCAAGAGAAAGCAAGGCAGUUGAAUUCAACACUUUACUUUUCAUCAGCUCAGUGCAAAUGAAAACAAGUUUAAAUGUGGG
rnacentral:lncRNA from 1 species